rnacentral:tRNA from 1 species
AUUUCUUUAGUAUAGAAGUACCAAUGCCUUCCAAGCAUUAAGCCCCAGUAGGGAAGAAAUA